UACGUAGGGGGCAAGCGUUAUCCGGAUUUACUGGGUGUAAAGGGAGCGUAGACGGAAUUGCAAGUCUGAUGUGAAAAUCCGGGGCCCAACCCCGGAACUGCAUUGGAAACUGUAUUUCUAGAGUGUCGGAGAGGCAAGUGGAAUUCAUGGUGUAGCGGUGAAAUGCUUAGAUAUCAUGAAGAACUCCGAUCGCGAAGGCAAGUGUCCGGGGUGCAACUGACGCUGAGGCUCGAAAGUGCGGGUAUCGAACAGG
rnacentral:rRNA from 1 species